GGCGUCGGGGCGGAGGAGGGAGGGGAGGGGGAGCUCCUCCGGGGGCGCGGCGGAGAUGGCGGUGGAGGAGCGGGAGUGGGAGAGGGAGAGGGAGAGGGAGAGGGGGCGAGGACGGGGGAGGGUGAGGUCGGGGACGCGGAGGGAGGUCUCGAGGUAGUCGGCGAGGACGCGGUCGUCGACGGCGGCGGAGCGGGCGCCCUUCGCCGUCUUGAUCGGCGUCGGCGGCGGCGCCCGGAAUCGCGGCCGCCUCGGGCGGGGCGCCGACGCCGGCAUCGAUCGGAGGCGGAGGCGGAGGCGGAGAUAUGAAAAGCCGUUGGAUUCGAAACUGGGAAAAGCGCUGGCUCUUCCAAUAAUCGGGGUAAAUUGCGUGGAUAGUCCCUGCACUACCUUAUAAUUGGUNCCUCUCCUCCCCGAUCCCGAACACCUGCUUUCCGGAAUCGACCGCCGAUCUCACCUCCUCGGCGGCCGACGCCGCCGCGGCGAUCGAGAAGCCCCCGGAGGCGGAGGCGGCGGCGACGGCGCGGCGGAGCGCGGCGGCGUCGGGGCGGAGGAGGGAGGGGAGGGGGAGCUCCUCCGGGGGCGCGGCGGAGAUGGCGGUGGAGGAGCGGGAGUGGGAGAGGGAGAGGGGGCGAGGACGGGGGAGGGUGAGGUCGGGGACGCGGAGGGAGGUCUCGAGGUAGUCGGCGAGGACGCGGUCGUCGACGGCGGCGGAGCGGGCGCCCUUCGCCGUCUUGAUCGGAGUCGGCGGCGGCGCCCGGAAUCGCGGCCGCCUCGGGCGGGGCGCCGACGCCGGCAUCGAUCGGAGGCGGAG
rnacentral:lncRNA from 1 species